CAAUAAUUAAAAUCAUUUGAACAAAAAAAUGGCACUCUGAUUAAACUGCAUUUACAGCCUGCAGGACACCUUGGACCAGCUUGGCUUUCCUCUAGAUUUAAAGAACUU